rnacentral:rRNA from 1 species
AGCUCCAAGAGCGUAUAUUAAAGCUGCUGCGGUUGAAAAGCUCGUAGUUGGGUUUCUGCCGAGCACGAUCGGUCCGCCCUCUGGGUGAGUAUCUGGUUCGGGCUGGGCAUCUUCUGGGAGAACGUAGCUGCACUUGAUUGUGUGGUGCGGUAUCCUUGGACUUUUACUUUGAGGAAAUUAGAGUGUUUCAAGCAGGCAUACGCUUGAAUAUAUUAGCAUGGAAUAAUAAUAUAGGACAGCGGUUCUAUUUUGUUGGUUUCUAGAGCUGUUGUACAUUUAAUAUGAAUGGUCGUGGGUAUUCAUAUUUAAUUGUCAGAGGUGAAAUUCUUGGAUUUGUUAAAGAUGGACUACUGCGAAAGCAUUUGCCAAGGAUGUUUUCA